rnacentral:lncRNA from 1 species
CUUUUAAGGCCUUUCAACUGAUUGAAUCAGACCCACCUACAUUACUGAGGAUAAUCUCCUUCACUUAAAGUCAACUGAUUAGAGCAAAAACAACAACAAAAAGACUCUGAGCAUUUGCAUCUUCCACUGGGUAAGCAAAGACCAGCCCAGAGUCAGCGUCUAUUCCUGUCAAGACCCAUUUGUAGCCCCCCAGGGCUACCAGCAUCAGCCUCACUUGCCAGCUGUGCUUGGGACCUUCCCACCAGGGAAUCUGGCCCAUAGCCAUCUGCAAUUUCUGUCUCUCCUGCUGGCAGACAGAACAGUUCUUAUUGGCAUUACGUGCCUGAGAGGGUGCAAUAGAAACAUAUUUAGAUUCAGC